UACGGAGGGUGCAAGCGUUAUCCGGAUUCACUGGGUUUAAAGGGUGCGUAGGUGGGUUGGUAAGUCAGUGGUGAAAUCUCCGUGCUUAACAUGGAAACUGCCAUUGAUACUACUGAUCUUGAAUUUUCUGGAGGUAAGCGGAAUAUGUCAUGUAGCGGUGAAAUGCUUAGAUAUGACAUAGAACACCAAUUGCGAAGGCAGCUUACUACACAGUUAUUGACACUGAGGCACGAAAGCGUGGGGAUCAAACAGG
rnacentral:rRNA from 1 species